rnacentral:rRNA from 1 species
UGGGGAAUUUUGGACAAUGGGCGAAAGCCUGAUCCAGCAAUGCCGCGUGUGUGAAGAAGGCCUUCGGGUUGUAAAGCACUUUUGUCCGGAAAGAAAUCCUUGGCUCUAAUACAGUCGGGGGAUGACGGUACCGGAAGAAUAAGCACCGGCUAACUACGUGCCAGCAGCCGCGGUAAUACGUAGGGUGCAAGCGUUAAUCGGAAUUACUGGGCGUAAAGCGUGCGCAGGCGGUUUGCUAAGACCGAUGUGAAAUCCCCGGGCUCAACCUGGGAACUGCAUUGGUGACUGGCAGGCUAGAGUAUGGCAGAGGGGGGUAGAAUUCCACGUGUAGCAGUGAAAUGCGUAGAGAUGUGGAGGAAUACCGAUGGCGAAGGCAGCCCCCUGGGCCAAUACUGACGCUCAUGCACGAAAGCGUGGGGAGCAAACAGGAUUAGAUACCCUGGUAGUCCACGCCCUAAACGAUGUCAACUAGUUGUUGGGGAUUCAUUUCCUUAGUAACGUAGCUAACGCGUGAAGUUGACCGCCUGGGGAGUACGGUCGCAAGAUUAAAACUUAAAUGAAUUGACGGGGUCAUAGCUGUUUUCU